rnacentral:rRNA from 1 species
AGCGAACGCUGGCGGCAGGCCUAACACAUGCAAGUCGAACGAACCCUUCGGGGUUAGUGGCGGACGGGUGAGUAACACGUGGGAACGUGCCUUUAGGUUCUGAAUAACUCAGGGAAACUUGUGCUAAUACCGAAUGUGCCCUUCGGGGGAAAGAUUUAUCGCCUUUAGAGCGGCCCGCGUCUGAUUAGCUAGUUGGUGAGGUAAUGGCUCACCAAGGCUACGAUCAGUAGCUGGUCUGAGAGGAUGACCAGCCACAUUGGGACUGAGACACGGCCCAGACUCCUACGGGAGGCAGCAGUGGGGAGUAUUGGACAAUGGGGGCAACCCUGAUCCAGCAAUGCCGCGUGGGUGAUGAAGGCCUUCGGGUUGUAAAGCCCUUUCGGCGGGGACGAUGAUGACGGUACCCGCAGAAGAAGCCCCGGCUAACUUCGUGCCAGCAGCCGCUGUAAAAC